CUGUCAAGGGUCAAGGGUAUACGAGUAGCUGCGCUCCCCUGCUAGAAUCCCCAAACAAGCUCUCAAGAGUAAGGCCACCAACUACAGUGGGAGUUGCUUAUGUACUGGCCAGACAAUUAAUU
ensembl:misc_RNA 7SK 7SK RNA